UACGUAGGGAGCAAGCGUUGUCCGGAAUCAUUGGGCGUAAAGCGCGCGUAGGUGGCUUCGUAAGUCCGUUGUGAAAGUCAAAGGCUCAACCUUUGAAAGCCGAUGGAUACUGUGAAGCUAGAGUACGGAAGAGGCGAGUGGAAUUCCUGGUGUAGCGGUGGAAUGCGCAGAUAUCAGGAGGAACACCAAUAGCGAAGGCAGCUCGUUGGGACGUUACUGACACUGAGGCGCGAAAGCGUGGGGAGCAAACAGG
rnacentral:rRNA from 1 species